rnacentral:rRNA from 1 species
UACGGGGGGGGCAAGCGUUGUUCGGAAUUACUGGGCGUAAAGGGCUCGUAGGCGGCCAACUAAGUCGGAUGUGAAAUCCCCAGGCUUAACCUGGGAAUUGCAUCCGAUACUGGAUGGCUUGAAUCCGGGAGAGGGAUGCGGAAUUCCAGGUGUAGCGGUGAAAUGCGUAGAUAUCUGGAGGAACACCGGUGGCGAAGGCAGCCUCCUGGGCCAGCACUGACGCUCAUGCACGAAAGCGUGGGGAGCAAACAGG